rnacentral:rRNA from 1 species
CGGGAAGAGCUCAAAUUUAAAAUCUGGCAGCUUCGCUGUCCGAGUUGUAAUCUGGAGAAGCAUUUUCCGCGUUGGACCGUGUACAAGUCUCUUGGAACAGAGCGUCAUAGAGGGUGAGAAUCCCGUCCAUGGCACGGACUACCAAUGCUUUGUGAUAUGCUCUCGAA